rnacentral:rRNA from 1 species
AUUGAACGCUGGCGGCAGGCUUAACACAUGCAAGUCGAGCGGGGUGAUGGUGCUUGCACUAUCACUUAGCGGCGGACGGGUGAGUAAUGCUUAGGAAUCUGCCUAUUAGUGGGGGACAACAUCUCGAAAGGGAUGCUAAUACCGAAUACGUCCUACGGGAGAAAGCAGGGGAUCACUUGUGACCUUGCGCUAAUAGAUGAGCAUAAGUCGGAUUAGCUAGUUGGUGGGGUAAAGGCCUACCAAGGCGACGAUCUGUAGCGGGUCUGAGAGGAUGAUCCGCCACACUGGGACUGAGACACGGCCCAGACUCCUACGGGAGGCAGCAGUGGGGAAUAUUGGACAAUGGGGGGAACCCUGAUCCAGCCAUGCCGCGUGUGUGAAGAAGGCCUUAUGGUUGUAAAGCACUUUAAGCGAGGAGGAGGCUCUUUUGGUUAACACCCAAGAUGAGUGGACGUUACUCGCAGAAUAAGCACCGGCUAACUCUGUGCCAGCCGCCGCGGUAA